rnacentral:lncRNA from 1 species
UAACUCUGUGUGUUGGGAAACAUUUGUGAAUCUAUCUGAUUAAUUUUCCUAUGUAUUUAUUAAUGUCAGAGUUCUAAACCUAUAACCAACUUUCCAGGUUCCCUGGUAACUCACCAACUCCUCUACACCAUUCUCUCUUCUUCUGCAGCAGUAAACAUUUGACAACAGCAAAAAUAAGGGGGAUUGCAUUUCUUGAUUGUUUUGCUUUCCUUCAGUUGAUAUGGGCGACGGCGGCGGCUGCGAAAAGAGUCUUCUGCACAAACACCUCCACCUGAUCCACCAGCACCGCCAUAAUGGUGGAAAGAAUCAACAAGUGAAAGAUGUGCCAAAAGGGUGUUUGGCGGUCAUGGUUGGGCAAGGAGAAGAGCAGCAGAGAUUUGUAAUUCCUGUGAUUUACUUCAAUCACCCACUGUUCAUGCAGUUGCUCAAAGAAGCAGAAGAAUAAUAUGGAUUUAAUCAAAAGGGCACAAUUACUUUUCCUUGCGAUGUCGAGGAAUUUCGAUCUGUUCGAGGUUUGAUUGAAAAUGAGCACAACUUCAGCCACCACGACCAUCGUCAUAUGGGCUGCUUUAGGAUUUCGAGGGACUAUAAAUAUCAGAAUUCUGGGGUAGCUUUCUUAAUUUUGGUAUUUGUCUUUCUGAGUUUUUGUCCUGUGGUAGGUAAAGGUAGUUUGGUGCAGUAAACGAUAACGUUAAUGGCAGAAGCCAUUGAUGACAAUGAAGACAGCGUGCAUUUAUUGCUUGCAGUUUAUGUUUUUCUCAACUUUCAAGAAAAAAUUGAGAUGAA